CGAGCUCCCAAACAAACCCUAAGUUAAAGGGUAUAUAUAAACUACGCAGUUCUUAAGGAUUUGCACGAUCCAUACAGUUAGGUUGUUGAUAUCAGGCAAUCAUCUUAGAAUUGGUGAACAACGAAGAUUCAAGAACAAGCUUGCAGUGUAAACCUAAGGGUUCUGUCAGACAUAGAACCACGGUAUAUAUUUUGACCUUGAUAAGGGGCAUGUGCACGUAAAAUCUAUUUUGGCUUACUAAUGUGUGAUACUAUAACAAUCAUGGGUUUUUCAAAUCAUAGAUUGGAUCAUGGAACUUUGGGUGGGUUUGGUGUGUUGCUGGAUCGGACCGAGGCAGUGAUGCACUUGCUAAUUCUCUCAAAGGGACCGUCCGUUGAUGACAAGAAGACUGAACCAGUGUGUUCCUUAAGAAAGGCAGGUUGGGGUUGAGCAUUACUGUUAUCUUAAGCUUCAGUAUUCUCAAAGAACUUCCUUGCUGUGAAUGUAGGAGACCAUUAUUUUUUAUGUCCGCUCUCAUCUCCGAGAUUCGUUUACAGGUCUACAGUUUUUGGAUUUUAAUAUUUAUCACUUUUCAUGAUCAUCACAAGAAGUGCACACGACUGAACGCGGCCUCUCUCUGUCGGCAACAACUCCGGUAUUCUCUAUCCUCUUUUUGUUUGCACUAUCAAAACCUAGAUUUGUUUUUUGUUUUCAAGUCGAUUAUUAAUUUCUUUUAUUUUUUUUCUUGUUGUAGGCAGGUUAUUUUUAGUCUGUAUUUGCAAGAUGCUUUGUCAUUCUAAAAUCUUUUACAGUACGAGAAUAUCAAAAUCACAAUUGGGUUCAUGUACUUUCUUUUUGGCAUCCCACUUUCUCUGUACCAUUUUUUGCAGAUAUCACAGAAAUGCUUAGUAUCGACUUGGCUUUGGUGCUGCUGUAUCUACUGCUUGGGAUCGGAAACGAAAAAGGAGUUAUAUGUACAAGUACUGGACCUACCUUUCCUUCAGAAAAGACCCAAAUUGUUAUAACUUGUAACCAUUGAUGAUGAUGAAAGAGCCAAAGGCGAUUACGUUGGUGAAAGGCAGUGGUUGUCAUCUUUCUUGCUACUUCUACGCAUACUCUAGAGCUUCUUCACGUCAGCAUCAUACCUUCCUAUUUGGCGCAUAUAUAAGUUGGAUUUACCCCAGGUAUCUACGGAGCAAGAAAGAAACAAGCCUUAGAGGUACCCAAGCAAUGAGAAUGAGUUCUCCUUUCUUCAUUCUUUCCUGGUGUUAUGCGAAAGUGACGGGAAGGAGGGAACAUACAUAAGCAAUAGAUGUACAAUUUCUUUAUACUCUUGACAGAAUAAGAACCACAUGGCCACUACUCAAUACUAAUAGGCGUGUCGGAGUUAGCCCGAGCCCCCUUGGUACGCCUUGCAUUUUAAGGCGCAUGCCGGAGUUAGCGUGAGCCCUCUUGGUUCGGGUCCCCCGCUCCACAAAUAAUUGAGCUAUAAAUAAUCUAGGAAUUACUGGUUAAUCCAGUUUACAAAGAACCGUUUAGUGUGUAGUCCAACACUAAAAUAAUUCUACUCGCUGGUCCAAAAAUAUGUUUUUGGACCAGAUUUUUUAAUCGAUGGUCCUAAUACGUGUGGAAGCUAUAAUGUGUACUUUUCUAAAUGCCUAAACAACCCUUCUGGUCAAAUUUAAUUCAGUUUUAUCAGCUCGUUCUUCACAAAUUGGAGAGCUCUGGCGAUGACGAUGGUGAUUUAUGGAAAAAAUCCAAAGAUUCCAAGUCCCUCUACAAACUAAAUCCGGAGGAGUCGAUAAUGGUGAAUCGUCGUUGUUCUCAUUUUAUAUUUGAUAUGUACAUAGGAUGUGUACAUAUGGAUACCAUCCGUAUUUUCAACUAAAUCCUAUGUAAUCGAGAUUUUGUAAUCUUAUCAACACUCUGGCUAUUCAUGGAGAUGAGGUUUCACAGAAUCACAAAAUA